GGGGAGGAUUUGAGACUGCUCAUAUGAUAUGCAUGCCAUAAAUUAGUAAAAUGCAAUAAAAAAUAAAGCAUCAGACCACAGAAACUAUGCCAUGGGUGGUAUAGCAGGCCGUAGGCGGCUGUAAAGUUGAUCCGGAAUUGGCCUUCAGUCUCUUAGUGGUCAACUGAAAGGGUGUUGUGGUCACAUACAUGGCUCUCAUUCACAAGAGGGCAAUGUACCAGCUCUUAGAAGAAGCAAAACUUUUUCUAGUACUUGACUCUAAGGAAAAUUACCCACCUCGGCCCAGAUGAAAGAGACUAGCGUGGAUAAUGUCCUCAAAACAUGGCAGCAAAUUCAGGCUCAGUUUCUCUGGGCUGUGUCCUGCAGGAAGAUCCAAGGUGGUCACCCUCAGCCUCUGCUCAGUGAGAGCACUGAAAUCCACACUCCCUUGAGCAAAGAAACGAUCUGUAUGUUUCAAUUCUUUCUUCAGCACUGGGAUUUCUUUCAAGUGGGUUUUCAUAUACAGAUUAGCCCAUGACCAUGACUAGAGGCUCAGAGGAAAUACUAGUAACUGAAGUCACAAUUCCUAGCUGGGUCCAACUCAGGGUCAGAGCAGCGAAUGUGGACAUGUAGAGGGAGGAGGCCAGGAGUGGUGGGCAAGACUGUCAGCAAGCCUGCACAGGGAAAGCAUCUCUUCUGUGUCUGGGUACCUCCUCCUGAACCUGUGUCACACCACAGAGGAGGACAAAGAAAUAAGAAAACCAGAGGCUUCUACCCUGAUUGUGAGGCAAAGGUCCAUCCAUCCGGGUCACAUCUCUGUAUGUAUCCUGGUGUGUGAUCUUUCAAAGCAAACGGAUGACCUCAAGCCAUCGCAGAAUCACUCACAGAAACAGAGGAGUCAGGAGAGGACUAGUUUGCAGGAGAUGACACCGAGUGUGGUCUUACAGGUAAUAUAGUAACACCUGUACCGUAUGGUCAUUUGUAAUUUCAGGAAGAUAUAUUGAGGAGCCAUGUAUUGUGGACAGUUAGAAUUCCAGGUCUGAAAUUCAGAACAGAGAUGAGAGUUGAAGGCUUAGAUUUAGAGACUUCUUCCAGAAACUAUCUUGAAAGCCCAGCAGUCAGCCAGGUAAGAUCUUUGAGGCUACAUAGUUUAGGGGUGGGAAGAGCAAGAGGGAGUAGCAGGAAAGACAGAAAAAGAAUAUGCACCAGUACUUUGGGAGGCAGAGGCCGGCGGAUCACGAGGUCAGGAGUUUGAGACCAGCCUGACCAACAUGGUGAAACCCCAUCUCUACUGAAAAUACAAAGAUUAGCUGGGUGUGGUGGUGCAUGCCUGUAAUCCCAGCUACUCAGGAGGCUGAGGAAGGAGAAUUGCUUGAACCCGGGAGGCAGAGGUUGCAGUGAAUUGAGAUCGUGCCACUGCACUCCUGCCUGAAAAAGAAUAUGCAAGAAAGUAGAAAAAGAACCAGGACAUAGUUUUGAGAUGUGCAUUCUUUCGACUCUAGAUAUCAGGCCCUGGGGAAGCAGUGGAAAUCAACAAUCCCAGUUCCUGCCCACAGGGAGUUUAUGUUGCUCUGGAAGCAGAGAGGCAAAAAGAAAUGAAGAGGGCCGGGGCGUGGUGGCUUACGCCUGUAAUCCCAGCACUUUGGGAGGCUGAGGCAGGCGGAUCACAAGAUCAGGAGAUUGAGACCAUCCUGGCUAACACGGUGAAACCCCGUCUCUACUAAAAAUACAAAAAAAUUAGCCGGGCAUGGUAGCGGGCGCCUGUAGUCCCAGCUACUCGGGAGGCUGAGGCAGGAGAAUGGCGUGAACUCGGGAGGCAGAGCUUGCAGUGAGCCGAGAUCAUGCCACCGCACUCCAGCCUGGGCGACCGAGCAAGACUCCAUCUCAAAAAAAAAAAAAAAAAAAAGAAGAGGAGAGAGGAGAGGAGAGUUACAGAGUUUCAUGUAAUAGAAACUGAAGGAGGAAGACUUAGGGAAGGCCUCUUGGAGGAAAGGGCAUCUGCAUAUUAGUCGGUUUUCUCCCCAUCAUCCAUUCCUCCUAUCCUGUCCUUCCAGUACUCACAAUUUCUCCACAGCUGGUCCCUAUGUUUUGGUGGUGCUGACUUCACUCUCAUCCUCUCCAGAAGUGGACUCUGAUCUCCUUAAACCCCUGGCUCUAGUGACUGGCUCAGAUAUGGGCACACGGCCCAAGGCAGGCUGCUACAGGAGACUAUUCCUGGAUUUGAGUUUGAAACUUCCAGGAAGCAGAGAGUCACUUUCUGCUAUAUUUGCACCAAGAAAAUGGAUCUUGAGAGUUCCUGGGGCCAUCUUGGAAGCAUGAGGGUUGUUCCUGCUCAUAGGCCUGGGAGAUGGAGCCCCCAAAAGAACAAGAGAGAAAAGGGGCCUUGAAUCAGAGUGAAGCCCGAGAUGAAGCCUCACCUGACCUGGAUACAGAUUAUUCAGCUAUUGGAGCCAAUCAAAGUCCUUUUCUGCUAAAGCUCAUUUGAGCUCAGAUUUGUUAUUUGCAGGCCAAGGCAGAGCCAAGUGCAAAGCUACCCAGCAUCCAAGCAGGAUGGCAUGCAUGAGGGCAGAGCCUAAGCCAGAGCCCAAAGGAGGAGGGGAGCAGACGUGGGGUAAGUCUGGUGAGGCUAUGAAUUAAUAGCUAACCUCACAGGUGUCCCUUCUGUGCCAGGCAUUGUUCUGAGAUGUUUACGUGCAUAAUUUCACUUAAUCUUCAUGAGGACCUUGUGACAUAAGUAGUGUUAUUAUCCCCAUUUUAUAGAGAAGCAAACAGAACAUAAGAGGCUAACUGGCCACGGUCAGAUGGCUAGAAAAGCUGGACUCAAUUCCCGGCAGUCCCACUCAAGGGCCUGGCCACUGGGGCAAGAUCAGGCUGAGCCUGGGUGCAGGGUCUGGUAGAUGAUCACAUAGCUAUCAAGGCCAAAGGUCGCUGAGAGGUGAUGGCGGAAGAAGGCUGAGAAGGCAUCAGAGUUGAUGACUGCAGCCAUCAAUUGCCCUAGGAGGUGCCAUUUCAGGCAAAGGUGGGGUGGACGCCGAUUUGUAAGGUGUGAAUUAGAGCCAGGUAUGAAUGGGAACCUGGUAAGGGCUGGGAACAGUUGGCAAAGCCCACACAUACCGUGAAUUCAUCACAGAAAGCAGGGAAGCCAGGGUCAGCUAUGGAAAGCAAGAGAGUCUAACACCAGCUUUGAUUUUUGCUCAUGAUGGUGUUUGCAAGGCAUGAUAAUGAAGGGGGUAGAGAAUAGGCUCAAAGAGCCCCAGUGGGCCCAUGAAGGAGAGAGGUCUGUGGCAGGCAGGAGAAGAGGAGCCAGUGUGCCGGCUGAGGGGAACAGUUGGUCACAGGCUUGUGGAGAGCACCUCUUCCUCUGGAGAAGGGAAAAUGAAGGGAACAGGUAAAGGUGCAAGCCACAGUUAGCUGGUGAGGGGGCAUGGGCAUCAGAAAAGCUGAGGGGCAGAGGUGUUGGCAGAGGGGCCAGUGGGGAGGACAGUAGCCAUUCAAGAAACCUUGAGGAUCUGUGAGCAUGCCUGCUCAGCUCAGCAGGAGGAAAAAGGACCUGCUACGGCCAGGUUUUCACAAGGUUCUGGGAUAUUGCCUUUUUUUCUUUUUGUAUUUAUUUUGAAAUAAUUUCAGAUUUACAUAUAAGUUACACAAAUAGUACAGUGCAUUUGCAGGCCAUAUUCUGACCCUACCCAUUGGCCUUACUUUUUCAAGGCAUUUCAUCUUUUUUUUCUUUUUCGACAGAGUCUCGCUCUGUUACCCAGGCUGGAGUGCAAUGGCGCAACCUCAGCUCACUGCAACCUCCGCCUCCUGGGUUCAAGCCAUUCUCCUGCUUCAGCCUCCUGAGUAGCUGGGAUUAUAGGCAUGUGCCACCAUGCCCGGCUAUUUUUUGUAUUUUUAGUAAAGACUGGGUUUCACCACGUUGGCCAGGCUGGUCUCGAACUCCUGAUCUCAGGUGAUGCGCCCGCUUCAGCCUCCCAAAGUGCUGGGAUUACAGGCAUGAGCCACCGCGCCCAGCUCAUCUUCUUAAAACAAAAUCCCUAGGCUGUCCUCCAAGCCCUGAGCUUGGCACUCUUCUCUUUAAAAAUUGCACUGCACUGGCCAGGCACGUUGGCUCACGCCUGUGAUCCCAAUGCUUUGGGAGGCCGAGGCAGCUGGAUCACUUGAGGUCAGGAGUUUGAGACCAGCCUGACCAACAUGGUGAAACCCUGUCUCUACUAAAAAAUACAAAAUUAGCUGGGCAUGGUGGUGCAUGCCUGUAAUCCCAGCUACUUGGGAGGCUGGGAAAGGAGAAUCUCUUGAACCCAGGAGGCGGAGGUUGCAGUCAGCCAAGAUCACACCAUUGCACUCCAGCCUGGGUUACAAGAGCGAAACUCCGUCUCCAAAAAAAAAAAAAAAAAAAAAAAAAAAAAAGGAUGCAUGUUCAGUGAGGUCAAAUAACCUACUCCACUUAGUUUGUAAGCAUCAGUCUUGGGCCAAAAGUCAUGUCCACUUGAUGCUGGGAUUCCACUUCAAUCAAAUGAGGCAAUUGGACUCUACUGCAGCUAACUGCUACUUACACAUCAGAAUUACCCAAGGAGCUUUAAACAUAUUUAUCUAUCCCUCUGACCCAGGCUGACUGAAUCAGCAUCCCUGGGUGUGGGCUGGGAAUGUGUCUUUUCAGCACACUUCCCCAGCAAGAUAAAAGUGCCUCUGUAAACUGAGAGCAGGAAACCAGUGGGCAAGAUUGUCAACUCAUGGAGUCAGGGACAUGUUUAAUUCAUUUGUGAAUCCCCUGGUACUGGCACAUAGAAAGCGUCCCAUAUUAUCUGCAAAAUGAAUGAAUGAAUAAAUGAGCAAGUAGGUGAAUGAAUGAUUCUGAGGUCUCCUCCAGCUUUGAUGGCCUAUGACCGUGUGACUCCUGCAUAUGCAUGAACACACAGACACAGACACUACACACAUGCACAGACACACAUACACACUUGGAGCAAAGAGGGAUGAAGCCUGCCACACUGCAGGUGGUCCUAGCUGCCUGACCUCCCUUCCUCACACACUGACACACCUCCCUCUUUGUUGACCUGUUAUUUAUUGUGCACCCAUUGGGUGCAUGGCCUAGCCCUAGGCCCUGGCCGGAGACCCAAACAUGGCCUCCAAGGGCCAACCUUACUUUGUGGAGGUGCAAGCCCCAGAGCUGGUUACAAGCAUGGGAAGGGAGGAGGGUGGCCUAGCAGGAAGGCUGGGGAGGCAGUGUGUCAGCCGGCAGGCAGCAGCGGGUAGCAGAGGCCCCCUCUUGGCGGGCAGCCUACUUGCACACUUGGCUGAACAGAGACAAUGGUGGCUGGUCCCUCCGGCCCAGCCUCCUUCCUACAGGCAGAGCCCCAAGUCCAUGAGUCUCCGGAACCUCCCUCAGAGAACAAGCCCAGCUGGGAGGCAGCCAGAGGGCAGGAUGAGGGGAUUUCCCAGGGGAGAGCAGCAGAGACCCUCUGAGCUGCCAGAGAUGGGGAAGGGGUCCAGGCACCCCACAGGAAGGAAGGUUUAAGGCAUGUGUAGAAAGGAGCACAGAAAAGUCUCCCGAGCCUGGCCUAGGCCUCGCCUGGUCGCCAGCCUCCGUCCCAUCCCUCACAACUCUCCUGAGCUGUGGCUCCUGCCAGGCAGACCCCUAAGGGAAACUGUCGCCACCUUUUACCUCUCUAUCCUCUCCAGUGGUCUGAACAUAGAGAACCUCCUUCUCUGCUCUGUUGGAACAAAGGCUCCUUGUUCCUAGGGUUCCAGGGUUCCCUGCAAAGCUCUGGAGGCCCCACCCCGCCCAGCCCUCACUCAUGCCAUCAGCUCUGCUCUGUUGAUGAGCAGUUGGGUAUGUGAGACUGUUUCAUCUACUUCGGGGGAAAGGAGACACAAGGAGACAAAGGCACAGGGCCCCACAGCCGUGCAGAGCCCUUGAAGCCCCCCGAGGUCCCUGCCCAGAAGGCUGUCCCCUCAGUGGGCAGGACCUUAGCGACCCUGCUCCCUGGGUCACAGGAGGCUGGUUAGGAAUUUCUCAAGAGUCCCUGAUUCACUCUCCUGGGGCCUCCCCAGGAAGGUCACCUAAUUCCCAGAGCAAGACCAUCCUUGGGGCUGUGGCUCCCCUGGCUGGGCUGCCCAGGGGCCUCUGCUGCCCCAAGCUCUCCCCCAGAAGCCAAGGGCACACCACAUAAGCACUGGUUCUCAAACAAGUGCUGAGUUCUCAGCAAGUCUAGGAAAUGAGGCCACUCUGGAUUCUGGGGCCUGGAGGGUGACAUGGGCUGAGCUCUGGGAGGAAAGUCAAGUCCUCACCUCCCUCUUCCCUUGGGCGUGGCCAGGGACUGGGGCUGCGGAGGGACUGCCAUGGGGGUGGUGGGGAGCACAGCAAUAUUAGGAAAGCUUCAGGGAGCACAAGAAUGAGGGCCACAGGGAAACAAGGUUUGUCCUUCAGCAGGGAAAGGAGGUGCCUCAUCCGUCAUGGUGGACUCAUUGAAAUAAGUCUCCUCCAGGGAGGUUCAUCUCAGGUCUACCCUGGAGCAGGGAACAGUGUCUCUGAGGUGGUGCUGGCUUCACAGCUGAUUGCGGUUCCGCUUAGGGAUGAUCUUCCGGUAGGUUCUGCGCUCUGAGAUGUUGCGCUUCACCUUGGCCGUGGUGGGAGCCUCAUCCUGGUGCAGGGACGGGCUCGAGUGGGACUUCUUCAGGCUGAGCUUGGGCUCCCGAGUGCCUCCAGCUUCCCUCCCCAGCUGCUCCUCCCACAGGUCCAGAGCAUCAGAGGGGCAGUGCAGGCGGGCCACCAGCAGCUGCACGUAGGUCUCGUAGCGGGUUUUCU
rnacentral:lncRNA from 1 species